ensembl:snoRNA
UGCAGCCUUGUCAAAUUCAGUGUAACCCCCACAGUGGGAUACAUUGGCCAAAAUGGCUGCCACAAUAAGCGAGUAGUCCAUGGGCCCCAUGUUCGAGUUUAUAAGAUAUUGGGGAUAAAUAGGGCUAUGAACAAGU